rnacentral:rRNA from 1 species
AGCCAUAGCCAUAUCACCCUGCAGCCCAAGACCAGUUGCUUACUGAAGCUAAGCAGGGCUGAGCCUGGUCGGUGUCUGGAUGGGAGAUAACAUGGGAAAACUAGGUUUUUGUUGGAA